CCCUUAGAUGUUCUGGGCCGCACGCGUGCUACACUGAGUAAAUCAAUGGGUAAGGGAACACGAAAGUGCAACCUAAUCUUGAAAUUUGCUCGUGAUGGGGAUCGACGGUUGCAAUUUUCCGUCGUGAACGAGGAAUACCUUGAAGGCGCGUGUCAUCAUCACGCGCCGAAUACGUCCCUGCCCUUUGUACACACCGCCCGUCGCUCCUACCGAUUGAGUGAUCCGGUGAGGCUCUGGGACCUGGACGGAAAGAGCGUUUCGCUUGUUCUGUUUGGGAAACUUGGUCGAACCUUAUCAUUUAGAGGAAGGAGAAGUCGUAACA
rnacentral:rRNA from 1 species